UUCUUUUUUUUUUUUUUUUUGAUGUUUGUUUUUCAAGACAAGGCUUCUCUACGUGGCCUUGGCCGUCCUGGAAUUCACUGAAUACGAGGCCCGUCUUGAAGAUCAACCUGCCUCUGCCUCCCAAGUGCUGGAACCGCCACUGUCCAGCAAAAGCCCAUAUUCCUACAGACAGAUAAAGGAUCCAGUAAUAGCUUUCUGUGAAGAGAAGUGAGAUCUUCCUUAAGUGGAUUUCGAGAGGCAGUUACUCGUUCUCUGCGGGCGCCGUUUUUAUAAACAGGUGGAACAUCUUUACGUUCAUAUCCUUUGUUCAUUUUAGCCGAAUACCUGACUCUAGUUUAGACAAGAUGUACGUCUGCACCGGAAAGCCUUCUGUCGCGUUCGAGCACUGGUUUUCUUCUCUCGCUUCUCCUCGUCCCCCUGCCGAAGUUCUAGGAGUUCAGUUGUCCCACUUUCCCCUUUUACACACUCCUCGGGCCAAAAGAUCCCCUUCUCUGCUGAGGGCUUCUAGCUCCUGUGAAUUUGUGGAACCCAGCCUGGAAGUGUCUCCCCAUGAUCCCGAAGAAAACGCAAAAGCAGACUGUUGGCACCACAAAGUCCUAAAGCGCUUCAAAUGGGGAACUGACUAAAAGUGAUACGGCAAAAACUGAGUGAACGCUGGGGACAUAGAGCAGUGGAGCGGAGCUCAGAAUGCUUGCCUGGCACUUACGAAAGUGCCAGGGUUUAAUCUGGAGCACCCCCUAAGACUGGGUGGCAUAAUCCUUGGGAGCUAAAGGCAGGAAGAUCAGGAGUUUAAGGUCAUCCUUGACCAGUUCAAGGCCCAACCCAGGCUGCAGGAGACUCCACCUUAAAAAAAAACCAAGCUAAUACAAACGGGAACAGAUUGAAGUAGGUGCAGUGAACACCCAGAUGUAAGGGUUCUUCCAGUGACAAGGCUUUAGGGAUAGCAUAACAUUCUUGCCCAGGAGAAGCUCACAGUCACUCUUCUGGGUCUGCAGCUCCUUCCCGUACUCAGAUGGGAGGCUGAAGAGGACCCUGCGGUGGCCUUGCACCAUUGCGUCGUGUGUUGAAAGCUGGCAACAGCAGCGAAUUACCUCAAACCCGUGUCCUCCGAGUCAGCGAUGAGCAAAGGAGGAUUAGGAAACAGGACAUUGCCACACAAUUCUACAUCCAUCCAAAGUCACAAACAUUACAAUGUCCCUCCUGUGCAAAUCAGAGCCCGCAACUGACACCACCAAAGGUGUGGGUCCUGGCUCCAACUUCCACAUGGUCCUGGUAUAGGGUCCCUUUGACUUGACAAGUGAGUAGGACCUUCUAAAGGGAAGCAAACACAGGGUUCCCUGUGGAGUUAAUCUGUAUCUCCUGUGAAGUUAUUCAAGGAUAAUGCUACUUCAAGAUGAACGCCAUAUAAAUAACGCCAUAUAAAUGACUGCAGGCUGUUUAAUAACAGAUCCAAAGCAAUCCAAGGAGAGAACUUGAUAUCUGACGGCUAGAAACGCAGGCAUCUGGCAGCCCCAGCUCUGAUCUGGCAUCCACACUCUCCAGUCCUGACUCAGCCACAGAGAGCCACUUCAUCUACAAGGACACCAUCUCCAGGCAGCCAGUGCCCUGUGCCAGUCCAGCUUUUACAGGGACUCUGCUGACCAUUAAAUGCUUCAGAACUUUUUGUCCAGUUGACUGAAGAUCUGUCCUGUCUGCACCAUGGCUUGGCUUCUUCCUAUGCCCGAUCUUGCUUCGGACAUUUCCAUUCCUAGGUGAUCCCUAGCAAGCAGCUGUCAUUUUAGACUCCAUCAGCACAAGCUUAUGGGGAACCCAGUCUACAGUUCCAAGCAUAUUGUACCAUGUUGACUUGGGGCAUUUGGUCAAGUUAACUAGUGUGUGUGUGUGUGUGUGUGUGUGUGUGUGUGUGUGUGUGUGUGUGUGAAUUCCCUAAUCUGUAGUGAGAAUGUUAAUUUGUUUUCCUAUAUACAUCUUUCAUUGCAAGAUGUUUCUCUAUUUCACAGAAUACUAAUAAAUAAAUCUACGAGGAAGGGAUCUGGCAGAAUACCUCCGUGCAAAGAGGACACAAGGGUAGAGAAAAAAACAUAGGCCCAUCCUAUGGGAAAGGACAAUAAAACUAUAAGGAAA